ACCCCUAUGUAACUCGCGAGUGAAGCGGGAAAAGCUCAAAUUUAAAAUCUGAUGGUCCUUGUGGCUAUCCGAGUUGUAAUCUAGAGAAGUGCUAUCCGCGCUGGACCGUGUACAAGUCUCCUGGAACGGAGCGUCAUAGAGGGUGAGAAUCCCGUCUUUGACAUGGACUACCAGGGCUUAUGUGAUGCGCUCUCAAAGAGUCGAGUUGUUUGGGAAUGCAGCUCUAAAUGGGUGGUAAAUUCCAUCUAAAGCUAAAUAUUGGCGAGAGACCGAUAGCGAACAAGUACCGUGAGGGAAAGAUGAAAAGAACUUUGGAAAGAGAGUUAAACAGUACGUGAAAUUGUUGAAAGGGAAACGCUUGAAGUCAGUCACGUUGGCCAGGGAUCAACCUUGCUUUUGCUUGGCGUACUUUCUGGUUAACGGGUCAGCAUCAAUUUUGACCGGUGGAUAAAGGUCAGGGGAAUGUGGCAUCUUCGGAUGUGUUAUAGCCCUUGGUUGCAUACAUCGGUUGGGAUUGAGGAACUCAGCACGCCGCAAGGCCGGGUUUUUAACCACGUACGUGCUUAGGAUGCUGGCAUAAUGGCUUUAAUCGACCCGUCUUGAAAAGGGGACCAAGGAA
rnacentral:rRNA from 1 species